CUACGGGAUGCUCCAGUGAGGAAUAUUGCACAAUGGAGGAAACUCUGUUGCAGCAACGCCGCGUGGAGGAUGACGCAUUUCGGUGUGUAAACUCCUUUUAUAUGUCAAGAAAAUGACGGUAGCAUAUGAAUAAGCACCGGCUAACUUCGUGCCAGCAGCCGCGGUAAUACGGAGGGUGCAAGCGUUACUCGGAAUCACUGGGCGUAAAGGACGCGUAGGCGGGAUAUCAAGUCAGGUGUGAAAUCCUACAGCUUAACUGUAGAACUGCACUUGAAACUGGUAACCUAGAGUAUGGGAGGGGGAGAUGGAAUUAGUGGUGUAGGGGUAAAAUCCGUAGAUAUCACUAGGAAUACCUAAAGCGAAGGCGAUCUCCUGGAACAUAACUGACGCUAAGGCGUGAAAGCGUGGGGAGCAAACAGGAUUAGAUACCCCCGUAGUC
rnacentral:rRNA from 1 species